GGGCGAUUAGCUCAGUUGGUUCAGAGCAUCUGCCUUACAAGCAGAGGGUCGGGAGUUCGAGUCUCUCAUCGCCCA
rnacentral:tRNA from 2 species